ACGAACGCUGGCGGCGUGCUUCACACAUGCAAGUCGCACGGAAAGGCCCUGCUUUUGUGGGGUGCUCGAGUGGCGAACGGGUGAGUAACACGUGAGUAACCUGCCCUUGACUUUGGGAUAACUUCAGGAAACUGGGGCUAAUACCGGAUAGGAGCUCCUGCUGCAUGGUGGGGGUUGGAAAGUUUCGGCGGUUGGGGAUGGACUCGCGGCUUAUCAGCUUGUUGGUGGGGUAGUGGCUUACCAAGGCUUUGACGGGUAGCCGGCCUGAGAGGGGGACCGGCCACAUUGGGACUGAGAUACGGCCCAGACUCCUACGGGAGGCAGCAGUGGGGAAUAUUGCACAAUGGGCGGAAGCCUGAUGCAGCAACGCCGCGUGCGGGAUGACGGCCUUCGGGUUGUAAACCGCUUUCGCCUGUGACGAAGCGUGAGUGACGGUAAUGGGUAAAGAAGCACCGGCUAACUACGUG
rnacentral:rRNA from 1 species